GGCGUGUGACUGCGUACCUUUUGUAUAAUGGGUCAGCGACUUAUAUUCUGUAGCAAGGUUAACCGAAUAGGGGAGCCGAAGGGAAACCGAGUCUUAACUGGGCGUUAAGUUGCAGGGUAUAGACCCGAAACCCGGUGAUCUAGCCAUGGGCAGGUUGAAGGUUGGGUAACACUAACUGGAGGACCGAACCGACUAAUGUUGAAAAAUUAGCGGAUGACUUGUGGCUGGGGGUGAAAGGCCAAUCAAACCGGGAGAUAGCUGGUUCUCCCCGAAAGCUAUUUAGGUAGCGCCUCGUGAAUUCAUCUCCGGGGGUAGAGCACUGUUUCGGCAAGGGGGUCAUCCCGACUUACCAACCCGAUGCAAACUGCGAAUACCGGAGAAUGUUAUCACGGGAGACACACGGCGGGUGCUAACGUCCGUCGUGAAGAGGGAAACAACCCAGACCGCCAGCUAAGGUCCCAAAGUCAUGGUUAAGUGGGAAACGAUGUGGGAAGGCCCAGACAGCCAGGAUGUUGGCUUAGAAGCAGCCAUCAUUUAAAGAAAGCGUAAUAGCUCACUGGUCGAGUCGGCCUGCGCGGAAGAUGUAACGGGGCUAAACCAUGCACCGAAGCUGCGGCAGCGACGCUGAUGCGUUGUUGGGUAGGGGAGCGUUCUGUAAGCCUGCGAAGGUGUGCUGUGAGGCAUGCUGGAGGUAUCAGAAGUGCGAAUGCUGACAUAAGUAACGAUAAAGCGGGUGAAAAGCCCGCUCGCCGGAAGACCAAGGGUUCCUGUCCAACGUUAAUCGGGGCAGGGUGAGUCGACCCCUAAGGCGAGGCCGAAAGGCGUAGUCGAUGGGAAACAGGUUAAUAUUCCUGUACUUGGUGUUACUGCGAAGGGGGGACGGAGAAGGCUAUGUUGGCCGGGCGACGGUUGUCCCGGUUUAAGCGUGUAGGCUGGUUUUCCAGGCAAAUCCGGAAAAUCAAGGCUGAGGCGUGAUGACGAGGCACUACGGUGCUGAAGCAACAAAUGCCCUGCUUCCAGGAAAAGCCUCUAAGCAUCAGGUAACAUCAAAUCGUACCCCAAACCGACACAGGUGGUCAGGUAGAGAAUACCAAGGCGCUUGAGAGAACUCGGGUGAAGGAACUAGGCAAAAUGGUGCCGUAACUUCGGGAGAAGGCACGCUGAUAUGUAGGUGAAGUCCCUCGCGGAUGGAGCUGAAAUCAGUCGAAGAUACCAGCUGGCUGCAACUGUUUAUUAAAAACACAGCACUGUGCAAACACGAAAGUGGACGUAUACGGUGUGACGCCUGCCCGGUGCCGGAAGGUUAAUUGAUGGGGU
rnacentral:rRNA from 1 species